AACGCACCUUGCGCCCUUUGGUAUUCCGAAGGGCAUGCCUGUUUGAGUGUCAUGAAAUCUCAAUCCCCUCGGGUUUCUGAUCCGGGGUGGACUUGGACUUGGGUGUCUGCCAUCGAUGUGACUGGCUCACCUCAAAUGACUUAGUGGGAUCAGCAUCCACUGCCUGACGUGAUAAGUUUCGUCUGGCUAGGUGCAAGGCCUGCUCACAACCUCUUCGCCUCCUGGCGUCGAUGCUUUUUGACUCUGACCUCAAAUCAGGUAGGGCUACCCGCUGAACUUAA
rnacentral:misc_RNA from 1 species